AUGGAGUUUGUGCUUGGUAGGGUUUUAUUUGUUGCUCUUUUGAAAGGUGUCCAGUCUGAGGUGCACCUGGUGGGGUCUAGGGGAGACCUGGUGAAGCCUGGGGGGUCCCUGAGACUCUCUUGUGCAGCCUGUGGAUUCACCUUCAGCAGCUACUACAUGCACUGGGUCCACCAGGCUCCAGGGAAGGGGCUGCAGUGGGUCGCAGAUAUUAGCAAUGAUGGAAGUAGCACAAGUAUGCAGACUCUGUGAAGGGCCGAUUCACCAUCUCCAGAGACAAUGGCAAGAACACGCUGUAUCUGCAGAUGAACAGCCUGAGAGCUGAGGACACGGCCAUGUAUUACUCUGCGAGAGACACAGAAUGUCUGGAACAGAGGGCUCCCAGCUGCCCUGGACACCUGCACAGUAAACUACAGGAGGACGAGAAGUGGACUCUGGUGGAACAACAGCCCUCUGUUGGUUUGGACCUAAGUGUUACAGACAGUGGCCGACCCAGCGAAUGCACCAUGUUCACUGGCAAUACGAGUUUAUCUUCAUCAUAG